rnacentral:rRNA from 1 species
UGUUUCGGCUAGGGGGCCAUCCCGGCUUACCAACCCGAUGCAAACUGCGAAUACCGGAGAAUGUUAUCACGGGAGACACACGGCGGGUGCUAACGUCCGUCGUGAAGAGGGAAACAACCCAGACCGCCAGCUAAGGUCCCAAAGUCAUGGUUAAGUGGGAAACGAUGUGGGAAGGCCCAGACAGCCAGGAUGUUGGCUUAGAAGCAGCCAUCAUUUAAAGAAAGCGUAAUAGCUCACUGGUCGAGUCGGCCUGCGCGGAAGAUGUAACGGGGCUAAACCAUGCACCGAAGCUGCGGCAGCGACACUCAGGUGUUGUUGGGUAGGGGAGCGUUCUGUAAGCCUGUGAAGGUGUGUCGUGAGGCAUGCUGGAGGUAUCAGAAGUGCGAAUGCUGACAUAAGUAACGAUAAAGCGGGUGAAAAGCCCGCUCGCCGGAAGACCAAGGGUUCCUGUCCAACGUUAAUCGGGGCAGGGUGAGUCGACCCCUAAGGCGAGGCCGAAAGGCGUAGUCGAUGGGAAACGGGUUAAUAUUCCCGUACUUGGUGUUACUGCGAAGGGGGGACGGAGAAGGCUAUGUUGGCCGGGCGACGGUUGUCCCGGUUUAAGCGUGUAGGUGUGUGUUCCAGGUAAAUCCGGUU